rnacentral:rRNA from 1 species
CGCUAUCACUCCUACGGGAGGCAGCAGUGGGGAAUAUUGCACAAUGGGGGAAACCCUGAUGCAGCCAUGCCGCGUGUGUGAAGAAGGCCUUCGGGUUGUAAAGCACUUUCAGUAGGGAGGAAGGUAGUGUAGUUAACACCUGCAUUAUUUGACGUUACCUACAGAAGAAGCACCGGCUAACUCCGUGCCAGCAGCCGCGGUAAUACGGAGGGUGCGAGCGUUAAUCGGAAUUACUGGGCGUAAAGCGCAUGCAGGCGGCCUGUUAAGUCAGAUGUGAAAGCCCGGGGCUUAACCUCGGAAUUGCAUUUGAAACUGGCAGGCUAGAGUCUUGUAGAGGGGGUAGAAUUUCAGGUGUAGCGGUGAAAUGCGUAGAGAUCUGAAGGAAUACCAGUGGCGAAGGCGGCCCCCUGGACAAGGACUGACGCUCAGAUGCGAAAGCGUGGGGAGCAAACAGGAUUAGAUACCCUGGUAG